GAAGGUAGAGCUCAGGGGUAGAGUGUGUGCUUAGCAUACAUGAGGUCCUGGGUUCAAUCCCCAGUGCCUCCA
rnacentral:tRNA from 1 species